rnacentral:rRNA from 1 species
GACGAACGCUGGCGGCGUGCCUAACACAUGCAAGUCGAACGGAGUUAAGUCUUCGGAUUUAACUUAGUGGCGAACGGGUGAGUAGCGCGUGAGGAACCUGCCUUUCAGUGGGGGACAACAGUUGGAAACGACUGCUAAUACCGCAUAACAUGUACGGAUCGUAUGGUCUGUACAUCAAAGCUUUAUGUGCUGAAAGAUGGCCUCGCGUCUGAUUAGAUAGUUGGUGAGGUAACGGCUCACCAAGUCGACGAUCAGUAGCCGGUCUGAGAGGAUGAACGGCCACAUUGGGACUGAGAUACGGCCCAGACUCCUGCGGGAGGCAGCAGUGGGGAAUAUUGGGCAAUGGGGGAAACCCUGACCCAGCAACGCCGCGUGAAGGAAGGAGGCCUUCGGGUUGUAAACUUCUUUUACCAGGGACGAAGAACGUGACGGUACCUGGAGAAAAAGCAACGGCUAACUACGUGCCAGCCGCCGCCGUAAUAC